UGUUAAAGGUGGUACUGUAACAUUGGGGACAGCUUUGGUGUUCUUUGGAACUUGGAACAUUAUCGGAUUAACAUUAUAUAAACGGUACAUCGCUGAAGGAGAGAAGAAAGAACCUGGUCAAUGGAAAAACGCAUCUGGAGCUCAACAUUAUCUUCGGUUAAUAAAUUUUGGAGAGGGAAACGUAAAAAAAAUAACUAUCAGUGGUUUAAGUAUCACCCAACAAGAUGUCACACCUGAAGAGUUACAGAAAAUAAAAGGUUAUAAUACUGGUAACAAUGAGUCAUAAAGCUACUUCAGAUGUUCCAGGGGAAGUUACAAUGAAGUGCAGACAGGUUGAUUGCAUUUAUCAUGAAAAAAUUUGUCCAGUGCUUCACAUUUGUGAUGUGAAUAACUGAAGGAACUGUUUUGCAACUGGUUUCGUAAAAUAUUAUUUAUUUAUAAUUAUAACUUUUGUAUAAAUGUAAAUAAACUGUUUUUAAAAUA